GUUUGAUUAUGGCUCAGAUUGAACGCUGGCGGGAUCCUUGCAUGCAAGUCGAACGGCAGCACGGACUUCGGUCUGGUGGCGAGUGUAGAACGGGUGGGUAAUGUAUGGAACGUGCCUGGCGGGGGAUAACUACGCGAAAGCGUAGCUAUGCCGCCGCGCUAGGGAAGCGGGGGACCUUCGGGCCUCGCACUAUUGACCGAUAUCGGAUUAGCUAGUUGGUGGGGUAACGGCUCGCAAGGCGACGAUCCGUAGCUGGUUUGGAGACGACCAGCCGCACUGGGACUGAGACACGGCCCAGACUCCUGCAGGGAGGCAGCAACAGUGGCAAUUUUGGACCAAUGGAAACCCUGAUCCAGCCAUCCCGCGUGUGCGAUGAAGGCCUUCGGGUUGUAAAGCACUUUUGGCAGGAAAGAAACGGCCAGGAUGUACAGUACGGCGGGCGUACCUGCAGAAUAAGCACCGGCUAACUACGUGCCAGCAACCGCGGUAAUACGUAGAGAUUGCAAGCGUUAAUCGGAAUUACUGGGCGUAAAGCGUGCGCAGGCGGUUCGGAAGAAAGAUGUGAAAUCGGAAGCUUAACUACGGAACUGCAUUUUUAACUACCGAGCUAGAGUGUGUCAGAGGAGGUGAAUUCACGUGUAGCAGUGAAAUGCGUAGGAAUGCUGCGGAGGAACACCGAUGGCAAAGGCAGCCUCUACAGGAUAACGCGGCGACGCUCAUGCACGAAAGCGUGGGAGCAAACAGGAUUAGAUACCCUGGUGAUCCACGCCUAAACGAUGUCAACUAGCUGUUGAAGAUUCGGAGCCUUAGUAGCGCAACUAACACGUGAGAUUGACCGCCUGGGAGUACGGUCGCAAGAUUAAAGCUCAAAGGAAUUGACGGGGACCGCACAAGCGGUGGAUGAUGUGGAUUAAUUCGAUGCAACGCGAAAAACCUUACCUACCCUUGACAUGUCUGGAAUCCCGAAGAGAUUUGGGAGUGCUCGCAAAGAGAACCGGAACACAGGUGCUGCAUGGCUGUCGUCAGCUCGUGUCGUGAGAUGUUGGGUUAAGUCCGCAACAGGCGCAACCCUUGUCAUUAGUUGCUACGAAGGGCACUCUAAUGGACUGCCGAUUGACUCUCAAAACCGGAGGAAGGUGGGGAUGACGUCAAGUCCUCAUGGCCCUUAUGGGUAGGGCUUCACACGUCAUACAAUGAGUCGGGACAGAGGGUCGCCAACCCGCGAGGGGAGCCAAUCCAGAAACCCGAUCGUAGUCCGGAUCGCAGUCUGCAACUCGACUGCGUGAAGUCGGAAUCCGCUAUUAAUCGCGGAUCAACGUGUCGCGGUGAAUACGUUCCCGGGUCUUAUAUACACCGCCCCGUCACACCAUGGGAGUAGGUUUUACCGAAGUGAUACAGCUAACUUAAUAAGGAGGGCGAUUACCACGGUAAGUUCGCAGCUGGGGUGAAGUCGUAACAAGGUAAG
rnacentral:rRNA from 1 species